GACCUCGAGGCUGACGUUGCUGGAAUUCAGGCACUGUGCAGCACACGGAAGGCAGAGGAUGGGGGGGGAGCAGUGGAUCUGAUUUGAAGCAUUAUCCUGUCACACACACGGAACACCACACAUAAAGCUUCAUCAAGGCCGUGGGACUUGCUCUAGAUUUGCAAGUCCAAGCUGAUGCUGUGCCCUGAAGCAAGUUUGUCGUGUUUGAACCUGCAGCGAGUUUUGGAGACCAGAGAAAAGCAGCUGCAGGAUGACACUGUCCCGACAGCACUGCUCGGUGAGAUCUGCAGGCAUCAGUGCAGCCACGAAAGCCACCAGGCUGCUUGCCAACCCGGCCCAGAGCCGAGCACAGCCGGCUGAGCUGGCGAAAGUGAUGGUGGGCGAGGGCCUCACACCGCCUCAGUCCUCAGGCCCGGGCAGAGACGGGAGCUGCG